rnacentral:rRNA from 1 species
UACGUAGGGACCAAGCGUUGUUCGGAUUUACUGGGCGUAAAGGGCGCGUAGGCGGCUUAACAAGUCACUUGUGAAAUCUCCGGGCUUAACUCGGAACGGCCAAGUGAAACUGUUAUGCUAGAGUGCGGAAGGGGCAAUCGGAAUUCUUGGUGUAGCGGUGAAAUGCGUAGAUAUCAAGAGGAACACCUGAGGUGAAGACGGGUUGCUGGGCCGACACUGACGCUGAUGCGCGAAAGGUAGGGGAGCAAACGGG